rnacentral:rRNA from 1 species
UACGUAGGUGGCGAGCGUUAUCCGGAAUUACUGGGCGUAAAGCGCGAGCAGGCGGCUUCUUAAGUUUGACGUAAAAUCUCCUGGCUUAACUGGGAGGGGUCGUUGAAGACUGGGAGGCUUGAGGCGAUGAGAGGGGUGUGGAAUUCCCGGUGUAGUGGUGGAAUGCGUAGAUAUCGGGAGGAACACCAGAGGCGAAAGCGGCACCCUGGCAUUGGCCUGACGCUGAGAUGCGAAAGCGUGGGGAGCGAACGGG